rnacentral:rRNA from 1 species
GCGUAGGUAACCUGCCUCUUANCGGGGGAGUAACUAUUGGAAACGAUAGCUAAUACCGCAUAAAAGUCGAUAUCGCAUGAUGUUGACUUAAAAGGUGCAAUUGCAUCACUAAGAGAUGGACCUGCGUUGUAUUAGCUAGUUGGUGAGGUAACGGCUCACCAAGGCGACGAUACAUAGCCGACCCGAGAGGGUGAUCGGCCACACUGGGACUGAGACACGGCCCAGACUCCUACGGGAGGCAGCAUG